CUUUGAACAGAGGUGUUUGACAUGCAUACCGACUGUUCGUGCCACCUCCAUGUUGCCAGCAGGAUCGGGGGCACCUUUAGGGAGAAAACACAUUUGAAUAACCUUCGUUCACAAUGCUACCACGCAACAAUGGUGACGUUUGAACAUUUCCUGCUCAGCAUUACUUGGCAAUGAAUCAGGGUUGUGGCUAAAGCGAUGUAAAAGCUUUCCACAAUUAUCACUGGAAGAAUAGACCCAUGCUGCACAACAUGGCACCGCAAACAUAACAUGAGCUCAAGCAUGAGGAUACAAGGUGUUCUCUGUGUCUAAGAAGAUAACCUUCCCGCCUGAGUAGCCUUCUUCUCCUGGUAGCUGAGCUGUGACUGGAC